rnacentral:rRNA from 1 species
CAUGUAGGCGGAUAUGCAAGCUUGGUGUGAAAGGCAGGGGCUUAACUCCUGGACUGCGUUGAGAACUGCAUAACUAGAGUAACUGAGGGGCAACCGGAAUUCCAGGUGUAGGGGUGAAAUCUGUAGAUAUCUGGAAGAACACCAAUGGCGAAGGCAGGUUACCAGCAGAUUACUGACGCUGAGGUGCGAAGGUGCGGGGGAGCAAACA